rnacentral:rRNA from 1 species
UACGUAGGGGGCAAGCGUUAUCCGGAUUCACUGGGCGUAAAGGGAGCGCAGGCGGCAUGGUAAGUCUGAUGUGAAAACCCGGGGCCCAACCCCGGGAGUGCAUUGGAAACUGCCAGGCUGGAGUGUCGGAGGGGUAAGCGGAAUUCCUAGUGUAGCGGUGAAAUGCGUAGAUAUUAGGGGGAACACCAGUGGCGAAGGCGGCUUACUGGACGACUACUGACGCUGAGGCUCGAAAGCGUGGGGAGCAAACAGG